AUGUGCAGGAGAGAGACUGAAGGCUGUGCAGAGGAGCCAGAGCCUUCAUUGACCAACUUGCUUUUCCUGUCUGGUGUAGAGAAGCCAAAGACGAGGCUGAGCAUUCUGCAGCUGGAGAACAGAGAAGCAGAAGUCUGUCCCAGAUCAGCAGCUCAGCCCUAGGCAGCUGGAAGUCCCAUGGGGGAGGACGGGAGGGAAGGGAGCUUCUAGGACCUCGGCUCCUUUUGCUGCUUCUGUGUGACUUCUGGCAGUCAUCUGGCCUCUUGGGUUUUUAACUGUGGUUCUUCCUGGGGCUCCAGCCCUCACUCACACACCACACGCAUCACCCCAUCUGCCUCCCAGAACAGUGGCGGCUUGGGCUUAAGCUGGUGUCACACACCAUGACCCUCGUGCACCAGUCACACGUUAAGAGGAAGAGCUGGGGCUCGAACUUGGGCUGACCCCUGUCCGGUGCUCUCGGGCACGGAGAUGAGCCCUUGAGGAGAACAGGCCCAGGCUGUGAUCUACAUGAGCUGAGGGAUCCUCACCCGCCCUGGAGACAGAGCCACGGUCCUCUGUGCUACAGAUGAGGGAGGAGGUGGGGGGGCUGAGGCAGAAGGGCUCAGCGUCUUUGCAGCUGGUAAGGGAUCCGGCAGGGUGAGGGCACCUCACUCGGCUCCCUGGUGCACACCUGUCCACCUGCCAUGGGCACCACAGGGUUCAAGAGGCGUCUCUCAGAGGACAGCAAGAGUUGGAGGAAGGUGUGUGUAAGGCCCUUCCCAGCAGUGAGAUUGGCACAGGUUCUCACUCAGACUCCCCAAGCCACGUCUGCAAAGCCUGCUCGGAGGUGCACGUUAGCGGACGUCACACGUGCUGUGUGAAGACUUCAUGAAGACACAGAAGCGUCUUUAGCCGAUCAGGCUCCAUGACCCAGGAAUCCAGGAGGAAUACUGAGGUGGUAUGAAUUCUGCCAUCACACCUGCAGAGUGGCAGCUCGUUCUCAGGUCUCCGUUCGAGGGAAGCAUGUUAGGGGCACUCCCAGAAACAACCAGAGGAAGCCAAGCACACUGUCCAGAUGAAACACCUCUUCUCCAGGUAGCCGGACCCCCAGCUUCCCCACGACAACAACCUCCAAGCAGACCACCCUUCAAUUUGCUCCUCUUUUUACUCUAAGCUUUCCUGUUCCUCUGCCUGUCCUGGAGUCUCUGCCAAAUGCAAGAGAUGGUGGCUGACUCGCUCAGCAGCUCUAAAGACAUCGUACCUGUUUGUUCCCAUCUGAGAGGCUUCCAUUUCCACACAUCUCAUUGGCUAAAGCCAAUCAUAUAACCAAACCUGUCUCAAAGGAAGCUGGGAAAUACAGUCUUUCACAUUGCUGGCCAGGUAGGAACUUAACAUUCUUUUAUCAAAAAAGCAGAGAAGCAUGUAUCAGUCAGCACUUAGCAGAGAAAAUGGAUUUUAAUACAAGAUAUGUAAAUAUAAGAGAAGUCACAAGAUUGGGUUACAAUGGCUGCCUUCAGAGUUGGGUGUGGAAGAGCGCAGAAAGUCUGUCUGCUCCCUGGAGACCCAAAGGAUCCAGUCAAAGCCGGGAGCUCAGCAUGGUAUCCUGUGUGAGGCUGUAUCAGCAGGCUGAAGGGUCUCUGGUGGAAGUGUGAAGCCAGGAGAUGACAUCCAAGGUGAGGGCAAAGACUGGGCCUCUUCCAAAGAAAGAGAAGCAGCCUUCCUUCUUUGCUUCCCCUUUAUACCAUCUGGGGACAGCCCUUCCUGGGUGGGUCUUGCACACCGGAGCUGUGCGGAGCCAGUUUAGUUGGGUGUUUCUCACUCCAGGUGGCAUGAUCAGUCAGCAUCCCAGAGCCAAAGUUGGAAGCAGCUGGUGUUGUCGCUCCUGCCAUGCCCCAGGCUUGGGGGCCUCUGGGGACACAUAGGAGAAAGUUUUCUCUUUUCAGACCCUCAGGGCAGCCCCCCACCAUUGUGGGCAGCUUUUCGCCCUCUUGAACACCCAGAGCUACUCUUCAGCUUCUGCAGGGAUUUUGGAGGGGAAAAGAUAAUAAAAGUAACUUGUACAUAUUAGUUCCCUUACGCUAUGAUGGUAAGUGUUCUAAGAACUUUGCAUCUUUCAUCAGUCUAUCCCAACUACCCUAUGAAAUAAACACCUUUACCUCUCUUUUACAGGUGAGGGCACAGAGAGGUUAGGUAGUUUGCGCAAGGUGUCCCAGACAGUAAAUGGCACGAGAGGAUUCUCCUGAACAGGUAGCCUGGCUAGAGGAUGUCUAACCACAGCCCACACUGCUUGCCCACAGUGUCCUCACACAGCCUCCACCUUCAGAAGCUCUGUGAUACAGGAGUCAGGACAACAGCAAGGCCUGGAUCAUCCUGUAUGACUUGCUGGGACCAAGAACCACCGGGAGCUCCUGUCCUUGGCUUCACUGGACACCAGAAACAGCUGUCCAUUCUGUCAUCAACCCACAUGUCACGUCCAGUGACACCCAGGUCACAGCUGUGAGCUCAUAAUCCACCCAGAUGACCCCACACUGAGGACAAACUGUCUCUGUUCCAAGUGCUGAGCGAGAGUGUCUGGUUCUCCCAUUCCUGAGACCAAGCAACCUGGCCAAAGAGCGUGACCGUGCAGCACAAGCCCUAAAUGGGUAUGAGGGCUCCCCAAAACCAGCGACCUCCAAAUGUGUUUCCUAGGCUCUGCUCCUCAAUACAAAUACUGUAUAAGUACAAAAUAAAGAAGGAACUCUUAGCCAAAAAAUAACGAUAAUUAUAUAGACACCAAGAAAGUUGCCAGGAAGAACAGACACUGACCGGGUUGUAAAUAAUUCUGCUGAGGACACCAAGAAAGGCACAGUUCUCAGGGCACAUGUAGGAAUGGUAACGCACAGAGAGAAAAUUAGAGGACUCGGUUCUUGGCUUGCUUCACUGCCAAGGGGAAUGAUUCCUAAUUACAAAUGGCAGAAAAGCUAUAGUUCAGAAGACAGUUCUCCCAAGAUAAAAGAUAAAAUAAGAGAGCAUUUAAUAUACUUAAACAAAUUCUUACUCCCAGGACCAGAAUAAUUGUGUCUUUAAGGCGCGCAGAUGCUGAUGGAGGCAACACCGAUACUCGUUAUGGGAUGAGGGAGGAGACGCAGGCAGGAGGAUCCAGGAAAGGUAAAUAUUGAUCUGUUUUACCAGCAAGGUAAAUAGAGGGAUUCGAGAAAUGUAUAAUGAGUUUGAAAUCAGAGCAAGGGAAAAACAAACUGAAGAAAUCACCAUUAAAAAGAUGCUUUGUAAAUAUUUAUAACUCAAAGGUAAUUACUAAGAGUUAUCAAAGGUUUAUGUGAUUAAUUAAUGUAUUCAUUCCUCACAGUACUCAUCGAGAAUGCAGUAUAGGCCAGACACAAGGACGACGGAAAGAUAAGGUUUACCUUUACCAUCAGUAAGGUAGCAUUUGCUAGCAAACAUCAGUGUACACCUAGCCUCACUCUGUGUCCUGGUACUUUUGCUAGUUGUGUGAACACAGAAAUGUGUUUCCAGCAAGCCCUUUGGAUGGCUCCAGUAGCUCAUGAGCGAGACAGGUACGGUACCUUCUGGCAGGCAGUGUUACAUGUUUCGUACCUGUUAAAUCACCGUAGGCAGCGGCAGGUGACGUAUUGUCAGUCUCGCCAUGACGGGGCUUCUCCGAGGCUCGGGGAUAUUGCUUCCAGAUGGUGAGAAGGAGUGGGCAGAAAGACUUCAAAUCCCCACAGCAGGUGGGCAGCAGGGAAGGAGCCUGAUCUGGUAACAGACAUAUUGGUCAGAGGAGCAGA